rnacentral:rRNA from 1 species
CCUAUGGGUGGCAGCAGUGAGGAAUAUUGGUCAAUGGGCGCGAGCCUGAACCAGCCAAGUAGCGUGAAGGAUGACUGCCCUACGGGUUGUAAACUUCUUUUAUAAAGGAAUAAAGUGAGGCACGUGUGCCUUUUUGUAUGUACUUUAUGAAUAAGGAUCGGCUAACUCCGUGCCAGCAGCCGCGGUAAUACGGAGGAUCCGAGCGUUAUCCGGAUUUAUUGGGUUUAAAGGGAGCGUAGAUGGGUUGUUAAGUCAGUUGUUAAAGUUUGCGGCUCAACCGUAAAAUUGCAAUUGAUACUGGCAGUCUUGAGUACAGGUGAGGUAGGCGGAAUGCGUGGUGUAGCGGUGAAAUGCUUAGAUAUCACGAAGAACUCCGAUUGCGAAGGCAGCUUACUAAACUGCCACUGACAUUGAUGCUCGAAAGUGUGGGUAUCAAACAGGAUUAGAUACCCGAGUAGUC